rnacentral:lncRNA from 1 species
UUACAGUUAUUGUGGUAUAUAGUUUUUGUUUUUAAAAAACUCCAGUUGUGUGCUGCUUUUUUAAAACAUUUUCAGUUUUGCAAGAAUAACCAAUAUUGUCCUAAAGCAUAUAUACAUCAUUAACAACUAAUUCCUAAAGUCUGGAUAUAAAGUAUGCUUUAUUUCUCUGAGGAAUUAAGAAAAUAACACCUCCCUUUCUUCAAAUAUUACCUAAAUUAAUUAGAAACUGCAUAAAUAUUCUUAUAAAAACAGAGCAUUUAUCUGGAAAGAAAAACAAAGAUAGAAAUCAAUUUGCAAAUGCAUUUUGUUGUACCUAAUGAAUCAACAAAGAGAAAAAGGAUUGUAUAUUUCAUAAAAAUAGUAAGCAUUGGUUUAAUUUAAUGUUAAUAGAAAAUGUCUUAACUCUUCACUUGAAUCCCUGUCUGAUAUUUGAGAUAUAAAAACUCUCUCUUGACUCCAUUAGGAUUUUUAUCUGUGUCACUUAAUAUUUUUGAGAAGAGGGAGAUCAAGGAUAUUCAGAACAGCAUCCUAAAAGCAAAUUUCCCAGCUCUGUUCACAU